UUUAUGUUGAGUCCAUUUUAGAAAGUAUCAAUUUGGCUCGUUACUUCUGCAUCCAGCCAAUAUGUAGUUAUGCUAUGGUCAUUUUUUAUAUUUUUGUCUAUCAUUUUUGCUUAUAUGCUUUGUCUAUAUGCCAUUUUGUUUCUCGUUUUGAAAUAUUUUUUUUCUUUUUAUACUGGUUGAGAUAUAACACAAUAUAAAUAAAUUUGGUGUAUUUACUGUCUUCUGAUUGGUUAAUAGUAUUAGUUUUAUUUUCAAUGUUGUCAAUUUUUAUGGCGACAUGCUCACUCUGACGUUGUGUAUUCAUACGCCAACAUGUGUGUACGUGUGUACGUUGUUAUUGUUAAUAUAAAUAAUAUAAAAAGUUCUUUGAGCCUUAUUUUUGAUAGAAAUUUAUUUAGAAUGAAUGGCAAUAAUUUAUUUUGAAUUUAUUGACCCAUAAAAUUAAUUUUUGAC
rnacentral:lncRNA from 1 species